UCCCUCUCAGGAUCACACCUAGAGAGUUUCCAGUACUCUAUCAAUAUUGACUAUGGGAGGGAAGGUCAAGCAGUGGCAUUAUCCAUUCCAUUCCUAGCUUGGCCAGUGGCUAGUGAGUGGAAGGCAAUCUGCUACAAGU